UUAAAAAGCUCGUAGUUGGAUUUCUGUCGAGGACGGCCGGUCCGCACUUUGUGCGUGUAUCUGGUUCGGUCUUGGCAUCCUCUUGGGGAACGUUUCUGUGCUUCGUUGCAUGGGACGGGAUUCAAGACUUUUACUUUGAGGAAAUUAGAGUGUUCACGGCAAGCUUUCGCUUUGAAUACAUUAGCAUGGAAUAAUAAUAUAGGGCGUAAGUUCUAUUUUGUUGGUUUCUAGGACAUACGCAAUGAUUAAUAGGGACAAUUGGGGGCAUUCGUAUUAACACGUCAGAGGUGGAAUUCUUAGAUUGUGUACGACGAACUACUGCGAAAGCAUUUGCCAAGGAUGUUUUCAUUGAUCAAGAACGAAAGUAUGGGGAUCGAAGACGAUUAGAUACCGUCGUAGUCUAUACCAUAAACUAUGCCAAUUAGAGAUUGGAGGUCGUUCGUUUUAUGACUCCUUCAGCACCUUAUGAGAAAUCAAAAUUUUUGGGUCCCGGGGGGAGUAUGGU
rnacentral:rRNA from 1 species